CCGAGUGUAGCUCAGUUGGUAGAGCGAUUGACUGUAGUGUUCUAUACUGUGUUUCAGUAUUCUCGGAAAUCAAUUGGUCGCUGGCUCGAUUCCGGCCACUCGGA
rfam:Phytophthora infestans T30-4 supercont1.272 genomic scaffold, whole genome shotgun sequence.